UACGGGGGGGGGCAAGCGUUGUUCGGAAUUACUGGGCGUAAAGGGCUCGUAGGUGGCCAACUAAGUCAACCGUGAAAUCCCUCGGCUUAACCGGGGAACUGCGUUUGAUACUGGAUGGCUUGAGUUUGGGAGAGGGAUGCGGAAUUCCAGGUGUAGCGGUGAAAUGCGUAGAUAUCUGGAGGAACACCGGUGGCGAAGGCGGCAUCCUGGACCAACACUGACGCUGAGUGAGCGAAAGCCAGGGGAGCAAACGGG
rnacentral:rRNA from 1 species